CACAGAGUAGCUGUUGACAUUAAAGUUGCGCAGGCACUUUGUUGACUAGAGAACCUUGGGCCAAUUGCACAUCCCUGUGUCGGCGACUUUGCAUGCAGAUGUCAUCCAUAUCAGUUUCUGCACCUACCAUGGUGACCACAGGUAAUGGGGAAUCAGAGUUCCAUUCCAUUCAGGGACCCUGAGAAAUGGCUACCACAUGCAAGGAAGGCAGCAGGCACAGAAAUGAUCCACUCCCGAUGCGGGAAGGUAGUGACG